UCGUGUCGUGAGAUGUUGGGUUAAGUCCCGCAACGAGCGCAACCCUCACCUCUUGUUGCCACCAGGUCAUGCUGGGCACUCUAGAGGAACUGCCCCGGUCAACGGGGAGGAAGGAGGGGAUGACGUCAAGUCAUCAUGCCCCUUACGUCCUGGGCUACACACGUGCUACAAUGGCCGGUACAAAGGGAUGCCACACCGCGAGGUAGAGCUAAACCCAAAAAGCCGGUCUAAGUUCAGAUUGGAGUCUGCAACUCGACUCCAUGAAGGAGGAAUCGCUAGUAAUCGC
rnacentral:rRNA from 1 species